CUCAACGCGCUGGGGCUCCCUCCAGCUAUCAGCGUGGGCUUCCCCCUCCUUCUCCCUCCUCCUCCUCCUUCUCUUCUUCUCCCUCGCUGCAGCUCCGCCGUGGAGGGAAGAGAGAGAGAGAGAGAGAGAGAGAGAGAGAGAGAGAGAGAGAGAGAGAGAUCCCCUCUUCACAACUCUCCCCUGGAAGCCCCAGCUGCUGGCUAGUCUGCGCGGUUACACGGGCUGCCUGCCUGCGCACCGGAAUGGCGGCGUGUGGAUGUGGAGAUGGUCCAUUCUGCGCCAAAGCGGCCACCGGAACGAAAGGACUGGAUGGAGGACGGAAAGAGAGAAUGUGUGCGCGCACGGCUCGGCUCGUUUUCACACGAAAGUCGCGUAAGAAACGGUAAACAGCUCCGUGUUUUCGAGGAGAGAGGCAGCCAAAGGGGAAGGGGGAUGGGAAAGCUUGGAGAGCCACGGAAGCCCGAGAAGUGCGCUUUUAUUCGGUGCGUAAUGACACGACGCGUCUCUCCGAUGGCUGUACCGACGUGCUGUUGACUAGAAGGGGAGGGAGGGUGGAGGGAGGUAGGGGGGUGUUCAACGUGUGAGGCUAUACCGGCGAAUACCGGGGACGGUUUUAUAUCCAGAUACUACAACCGACACGGGAGCAGAGGCUACAGCCCCAUUGCGCGUAACACGACGCACAUGGCACGCCCCCCUCUGCCCCUCGCUCCCUCGCUCCCUCCUCCUCCUCCUCCUCCUUCUCCUCCUCCUCCUCCUCUUCUACACUGACAGGGAGGCGUUUGCUGCAGGGCGCCAUUUUCAAAAGCCUUCUUUGCAUAUGAGAUUUAUUUUGCUGCAGGAGGGUUGCAGCCGUCCUGCCGUCUCAUGUUACACAUUUAUCUGCACAAGAAGAAUAUGGACCGAAGAGGAAGAAAACAGUCAAACUGGACCAAACUUCAACGUGUCAUCUAUUCUUCCUUUAAGAUAAUUUUUUUGUUGCAAAGAAUCAGCUCAACUGGAACGCCUGGUGCUUUUCUCCGAGGUCUCAUCUGCUGACCUCUGACCAGCAGGAUCAGCUGGUUGUGUGUUAUGGGAAGCGACAGGGAGAGUCUCAAAGGAUGAGCCACAGCCUCCCCUACUGGCCACAUACCAAACCACACUCUGCUCCGAAAAAACGGGGGGACUGAGGUCUGAUCCAGAAUCAUCUGAGUCUGAUUAACUCAACCAAUUAAAGGAUCCAUUUGAUUAAAAGUCAGCAGAGGAGGUGAGAUUUGA